GACGAACGCUGGCGGCGUGCCUAAUACAUGCAAGUAGAACGCUGAAGGAGGAGCUUGCUUCUCCGGAUGAGUUGCGAACGGGUGAGUAACGCGUAGGUAACCUGCCUGGUAGCGGGGGAUAACUAUUGGAAACGAUAGCUAAUACCGCAUAACAGUAGAUAUUGCAUGAUAUCUGCUUGAAAGGUGCAAUUGCAUCACUACCAGAUGGACCUGCGUUGUAUUAGCUAGUUGGUGGGGUAACGGCUCACCAAGGCGACGAUACAUAGCCGACCUGAGAGGGUGGUCGGCCACACUGGGACUGAGACACGGCCCAGACUCCUACGGGAGGCAGCAGUAGGGAAUCUUCGGCAAUGGACGGAAGUCUGACCGAGCAACGCCGCGUGAGUGAAGAAGGGUUUCGGAUCGUAAAGCUCUGUUGUAAGAGAAGAACGAGUGUGAGAGUGGAAAGUUCACACUGUGACGGUAUCUUACCAGAAAGGGACGGCUAACUACGUG
rnacentral:rRNA from 1 species